rnacentral:rRNA from 1 species
UAGGGAAUCUUCGGCAAUGGACGGAAGUCUGACCGAGCAACGCCGCGUGAGUGAAGAAGGUUUUCGGAUCGUAAAGCUCUGUUGUUAGAGAAGAACGUUGGUAGGAGUGGAAAAUCUACCAAGUGACGGUAACUAACCAGAAAGGGACGGCUAACUACGUGCCAGCAGCCGCGGUAAUACAGAGGGUGCGAGCGUUAAUCGGAUUUACUGGGCGUAAAGCGUGCGUAGGCGGCUUCUUAAGUCGGAUGUGAAAUCCCUGAGCUUAACUUAGGAAUUGCAUUCGAUACUGGGAAGCUAGAGUAUGGGAGAGGAUGGUAGAAUUCCAGGUGUAGCGGUGAAAUGCGUAGAGAUCUGGAGGAAUACCGAUGGCGAAGGCAGCCAUCUGGCCUAAUACUGACGCUGAGGUACGAAAGCAUGGGGAGCAAACAGG